rnacentral:rRNA from 1 species
AUCAACUUUCGAUGGUAGGAUAGAGGCCUACCAUGGUGGUAACGGGUAACGGGGUGUUAGGGCACGACACCGGAGAGGGAGCCUGAGAAACGGCUACCACAUCCAAGGAUGGCAGCAGGCGCGCAAAUUACCCAAUCCCGACACGGGGAGGUAGUGACAAUAAAUAACAAUACGGGGUUCUUUCGGAUUUCGUAAUUGGAAUGAGUACAAUUUAAAUCUCUUAACGAGGAACAAUUGGAGGGCAAGUCUGGUGCCAGCAGCCGCGGUAAUUCCAGCUCCAAUAGCGUAUAUUAAAGUUGUUGCAGUUAAAAAGCUCGUAGUUGAAUUUCGGGAUCAGUACGUUGGUCGUACCUCCGGUAUGCACUGAUGUUACUGGUUUCUACCUUCUGAAGAACUGUCAUGUCAUUAAUUUGGUGUGGCGGGGAAUCAGGACUGUUACUUUGAAAAAAUUAGAGUGUUUAAAGCAGGCUCGCGCUUGAAUACAUUAGCAUGGAAUAAUGAAAUAGGACGUUCGAUCCUAUUUUGUUGGUUUCUAGGAUUGACGUAAUGAUUAAUAGGGAUAGUUGGGGGCAUUAGUAUUCAAUUGUCAGAGGUGAAAUUCUUGGAUUUAUUGAAGACUAACUACUGCGAAAGCAUUUGCCAAGGAUGUUUUCAUUAAUCAAGAACGAAAGUUAGGGGAUCGAAGACGAUCAGAUACCGUCGUAGUCUUAACCAUAAACUAUGCCGACUAGGGAUCGGAUGAUGUUAUUUUUAAUGACUCAUUCGGCGCCUUACGGGAAACCAAAGUGUUUGGGUUC